UACGAAGGGAGCUAGCGUUGUUCGGAAUCACUGGGCGUAAAGCGCACGUAGGCGGACGUGUCAGUCAGGGGUGAAAUCCCGGAGCUCAACUUCGGAACUGCCUUUGAUACAGCACGUCUUGAGUCCGGAAGAGGUGGGUGGAAUUCCUAGUGUAGAGGUGAAAUUCGUAGAUAUUAGGAAGGACACCGGUGGCGAAGGCGGCCCACUGGUCCGGUACUGACGCUGAGGUGCGAAAGCGUGGGGAGCAAACAGG
rnacentral:rRNA from 1 species